GGGAGCUUGCUCCCUGAUUCAGCGGCGGACGGGUGAGUAAUGCCUAGGAAUCUGCCUGGUAGUGGGGGACAACGUCUCGAAAGGGACGCUAAUACCGCAUACGUCCUACGGGAGAAAGCAGGGGACCUUCGGGCCUUGCGCUAUCAGAUGAGCCUAGGUCGGAUUAGCUAGUUGGUGAGGUAAUGGCUCACCAAGGCGACGAUCCGUAACUGGUCUGAGAGGAUGAUCAGUCACACUGGAACUGAGACACGGUCCAGACUCCUACGGGAGGCAGCAGUGGGGAAUAUUGGACAAUGGGCGAAAGCCUGAUCCAGCCAUGCCGCGUGUGUGAAGAAGGUCUUCGGAUUGUAAAGCACUUUAAGUUGGGAGGAAGGGCAGCUAAUUAAUACUUCGCUGUUUUGACGUUACCGACAGAAUAAGCACCGGCUAACUCUGUGCCAGCAGCCGCGGUAAUACAGAGGGUGCAAGCGUUAAUCGGAAUUACUGGGCGUAAAGCGCGCGUAGGUGGUUUGUUAAGUUGAAUGUGAAAUCCCCGGGCUCAACCUGGGAACUGCAUCCAAAACUGGCAAGCUAGAGUAGGGCAGAGGGUGGUGGAAUUUCCUGUGUAGCGGUGAAAUGCGUAGAUAUAGGAAGGAACACCAGUGGCG
rnacentral:rRNA from 1 species